rnacentral:rRNA from 1 species
AAAUUGAAGAGUUUGAUCAUGGCUCAGAUUGAACGCUGGCGGCAGGCCUAACACAUGCAAGUCGAACGGUAGCACAGAGAGCUUGCUCUCGGGUGACGAGUGGCGGACGGGUGAGUAAUGUCUGGGAAACUGCCUGAUGGAGGGGGAUAACUACUGGAAACGGUGGCUAAUACCGCAUAACGUCGCAAGACCAAAGAGGGGGACCUUCGGGCCUCUUGCCAUCAGAUGUGCCCAGAUGGGAUUAGCUAGUUGGUGAGGUAACGGCUCACCAAGGCGACGAUCCCUAGCUGGUCUGAGAGGAUGACCAGCCACACUGGAACUGAGACACGGUCCAGACUCCUACGGGAGGCAGCAGUGGGGAAUAUUGCACAAUGGGCGCAAGCCUGAUGCAGCCAUGCCGCGUGUAUGAAGAAGGCCUUCGGGUUGUAAAGUACUUUCAGCGGGGAGGAAGGUGUUGUGGUUAAUAACCACAGCAAUUGACGUUACCCGCAGAAGAAGCACCGGCUAACUCCGUGCCAGCAGCCGCGGUAAUACGGAGGGUGCAAGCGUUAAUCGGAAUUACUGGGCGUAAAGCGCACGCAGGCGGUCUGUCAAGUCGGAUGUGAAAUCCCCGGGCUCAACCUGGGAACUGCAUUCGAAACUGGCAGGCUUGAGUCUUGUAGAGGGGGGUAGAAUUCCAGGUGUAGCGGUGAAAUGCGUAGAGAUCUGGAGGAAUACCGGUGGCGAAGGCGGCCCCCUGGACAAAGACUGACGCUCAGGUGCGAAAGCGUGGGGAGCAAACAGGAUUAGAUACCCUGGUAGUCCACGCCGUAAACGAUGUCUACUUGGAGGUUGUGCCCUUGAGGCGUGGCUUCCGGAGCUAACGCGUUAAGUAGACCGCCUGGGGAGUACGGCCGCAAGGUUAAAACUCAAAUGAAUUGACGGGGGCCCGCACAAGCGGUGGAGCAUGUGGUUUAAUUCGAUGCAACGCGAAGAACCUUACCUGGUCUUGACAUCCACAGAACUUUCCAGAGAUGGAUUGGUGCCUUCGGGAACUGUGAGACAGGUGCUGCAUGGCUGUCGUCAGCUCGUGUUGUGAAAUGUUGGGUUAAGUCCCGCAACGAGCGCAAC